UUUAUAACAUAUAUGUUCAUCCAAGAAAGCCAAUAGUAAAUACUAAUACAUGACAUUAUUUGUAAUGUGAAAUUUCUUUAGUGUACAACAACAGUUGAAAUUUGACAAUUUAUUAGCCAAAUUAUAAAGAAUGCUGGAACACCAUAUUGCUGUAUUAGGAACUGAAAAUUACAACCUGUAUGGGUAUAAUAUAUGAACAUAGUGAAGCACUUUCGUUCUGAUCGUUGUUGCCAUUCAAACUAUAGUAAUAGCUUCUACUCUGUGCUCCAGAUAUUGUUAGAUAUGAAGAGCUUUCAGAGAAUAAUAAACCAAAGUUGUAUAGUUUCGUCCUUUGUUUUCGUCUAUUCAAUUCUCUCCAGAUUAUACUUCACGAUUUCCUCAAGUGCUGCUUGAAAAGGACUAGAUGGAAGGCAUUUUAGGUUCUGCAUUGCUAAAUCAGCUUUCUCCUUUGCCAAAUCUUGUGCUCGUUGAAUUCCCCCACAGCUUUUCACCAGAUUGAUGGCCUCCUCGAGAGAACCAGCAUCGUGAAAUUCUGAUUCGAUUAUAUUCCUAAGGUUUGGCUCUUUCUCUAAUGCAAAAAGUACUGGUGCAGUAAGGUUUCCCUUGGCUAAGUCACUUCCAGCUGGCUUUCCCAGUUGUGCGGCUGAUUGUGUGAAGUCCAAUAUGUCAUCAACAAUCUGGAACGAUAAACCAAGAUUCCUCCCAUAUUGAAACAUUUGUUCACUAAUAUCACUGCCAACUUCACUGAAAAUGGCAGCUCCUUUGGUGCUUGCAGCAAUCAAGGAGGCCGUUUUAUAGUAACUCUUGAGCAAAUAUUCAUCCAGUCCAACAUCACAGUCGAACAAGUUAGAGGCCUGCUUUAUUUCACCACUUGCAAAGUCUUUAAUAACCUGACUGAUGAGCUUUAUGACUUCAAGGUUUUCAAGGUUAGCUAGGUACCAGGACGACUGUGCAAACAUAAAAUCACCAGCCAGUACUGCCACUCUAGUACCAUAUAAUUGGUGAAUAGUCUCCUUUCCUCUUCGUGUGUCACUUUCAUCUAACACGUCAUCAUGUAUCAAGCUUGCAGUAUGGAUCAUUUCAAUGAUUUCAGCUAACCUUCUGUGAUUUGUGGUGAGACCUGCUUUAGUGUUCCUAGUGUCAAGGGCCACAGCAGAAAU
rnacentral:misc_RNA from 1 species